AUCCGUAACUGGUCUGAGAGGAUUAUCAGUCACACUGGAACUGAGACACGGUCCAGACUCCUACGGGAGGCAGCAGUGGGGAAUAUUGGACAAUGGGCGAAAGCCUGAUCCAGCCAUGCCGCGUGUGUGAAGAAGGUCUUCGGAUUGUAAAGCACUUUAAGUUGGGAGGAAGGGCAUUAACCUAAUACGUUAGUGUUUUGACGUUACCGACAGAAUAAGCACCGGCUAACUCUGUGCCAGCAGCCGCGGUAAUACAGAGGGUGCAAGCGUUAAUCGGAAUUACUGGGCGUAAAGCGCGCGUAGGUGGUUCGUUAAGUUGGAUGUGAAAGCCCCGGGCUCAACCUGGGAACUGCAUUCAAAACUGACGAGCUAGAGUAUGGUAGAGGGUGGGUGGAAUUUCCUGUGUAGCGGUGAAAUGCGUAGAUAUAGGAAGGAACACCAGUGGCGAAGGCGACCACCUGGACUGAUACUGACACUGAGGUGCGAAAGCGUGGGGAGCAAACAGGAUUAGAUACCCUGGUAGUCCACGCCGUAAACGAUGUCAACUAGCCGUUGGGAGCCUUGAGCUCUUAGUGGCGCAGCUAACGCAUUAAGUUGACCGCCUGGGGAGUACGGCCGCAAGGUUAAAACUCAAAUGAAUUGACGGGGGCCCGCACAAGCGGUGGAAGCAUGUGGUUUAAUUCGAAGCAACGCGAAGAACCUUACCAGGCCUUGACAUCCAUGAACUUUCCAGAGAUGGAUUGGUGCCUUCGGAACAUUGAAACAGUG
rnacentral:rRNA from 1 species